UACGUAGGGGGCAAGCGUUGUCCGGAAUUAUUGGGCGUAAAGAGCGCGUAGGCGGUCCGAUAAGUCGGCUGUGAAAGUCAGGGGCUCAACCCUUGAAAGCCGGCCGAUACUGUCGGACUAGAGUCCGGAAGAGGCAAGUGGAAUUCCCGGUGUAGCGGUGAAAUGCGCAGAUAUCGGGAGGAACACCAAUGGCGAAGGCAGCUUGCUGGGACGGUACUGACGCUGAGCGCGAAAGCGUGG
rnacentral:rRNA from 1 species